AUUGAACGCUGGCGGCAGGCUUAACACAUGCAAGUCGAACGGAACCUUCGGGUUUAGUGGCGAACGGGUGAGUAAUACCCAGGGAUCUGCCUAUUAGUGGGGGAUAACGGCUCGAAAGGGUCGCUAAUACCGCAUACGUCCUACGGGAGAAAGAGGGGGAUCUUCGGACCUCUUGCUAAUAGAUGAGCCUAGGCCGGAUUAGCUAGUUGGUAGGGUAAAGGCCUACCAAGGCGACGAUCCGUAGCUGGUCUGAGAGGAUGAUCAGCCACACUGGAACUGAGACACGGGCCAGACUCCUACGGGAGGCAGCAGUGAGGAAUAUUGCGCAAUGGGGGCGAACCCUGACGCAGCGACGCCGCGUGAGUGAGGAA
rnacentral:rRNA from 1 species